GGGAAUUCCUGGGGUGAUGGACACAUUUCGUAUUAUGGCUGCAGUGACUGUUACAGGUGUCUAUCUACAUUUGUCAGUGCUCAUCAAACUGUAUAUUUAAUGUGACUGCAUUUUAUUGUAUCUACAUUAACCCUCAAUAAAGUUGAUUUUAAAGAAAGAAAAUAAUGAGUACAAUUGAGAAUUUAGAGCUGAUAUUGUGAUUUUUUUUUCCUUUGGUCAGAAGCUAUAGUGAGAGAGAAAUGUGCCCAGGAAUCCCUUUUGAGUAAAGUGGCAAGACUCAGAGCAAGAGAGACACUCAAGACAGGAUAUAUUCGAAAGUGAUGAGAAAGGAAUGAGAAAAGCAUGAGAAGUGAUGAGUCCCUAAGGAGAUUUGUUCAAAGGUCAAGAGUGAAAGAAAGUCAAAGCUCUGCAGUUAAGAAGAAAAAUACACCACUGAAACUUUCAGAUGCCUUGAGACAAGAUUCUUCUUCCAGAAUUCUAGUAUCAUUCCAAGGCUGGACUCUUCAGAAGUGAUUGCCUGCAAAUUUAGGAUGAGAACAAAAUCACAGUUCAAGGUUAGUAUUUUUGAAGGAUAAAGAAAAGCAAAACAUUAAAAUAUCUCCAACUAAUGAACUAUUGUCUGUUUUAGUAUACUUUCAUGUUUUUUUUAAAAAAGAGAAGUAAAAAGAAAAAUGAAAUCAUUUUUAUUAUAUGAUAUUCAAGGUCAAACGAAGCCACAAGAGUUCAUAUAGGGAAAGGUACCACAUGUGGCAUAUUAUGUCUUUUUAUAUUUUGCUGCCUAUCACAGUCUUCUAAAGCUAAACUUUAAAGUUCUCAUGUCAUAAAUUCUUUUUGCAAAUUGUUGAAUUAUGUAUUGUGUACAUAACACAGUGCUGAUCAGUAUGGGCAAUUUAGAGAUGGGUAAAAU
rnacentral:lncRNA from 10 species